AUUGAACGCUGGCGGCAGGCCUAACACAUGCAAGUCGGACGGUAGCACAGAGGAGCUUGCUCCUCGGGUGACGAGUGGCGGACGGGUGAGUAAUGUCUGGGAAACUGCCCGAUGGAGGGGGAUAACUACUGGAAACGGUAGCUGAUACCGCAUAACGUCGCAAGACCAAAGUGGGGGACCUUCGGGCCUCACACCAUCGGAUGUGCCCAGAUGGGAUUAGCUGGUAGGCGGGGUAACGGCCCACCUAGGCGACGAUCCCUAGCUGGUCUGAGAGGAUGACCAGCCACACUGGAACUGAGACACGGUCCAGACUCCUACGGGAGGCAGCAGUGGGGAAUAUUGCACAAUGGGCGCAAGCCUGAUGCAGCCAUGCCGCGUGUAUGAAGAAGGCCUUCGGGUUGUAAAGUACUUUCAGCGGGGAGGAAGGUGCUGAGGUUAAUAAGCUCAGCAAUUGACGUUACCCGCAGAAGAAGCACCGGCUAACUCCGUGCCAGCCGCCGCCGUAA
rnacentral:rRNA from 1 species